AGUGAACGCUGGCGGUAGGCCUAACACAUGCAAGUCGAACGGCAGCACAGUAAGAGCUUGCUCUUACGGGUGGCGAGUGGCGGACGGGUGAGGAAUACAUCGGAAUCUACUUUUUCGUGGGGGAUAACGUAGGGAAACUUACGCUAAUACCGCAUACGACCUACGGGUGAAAGCAGGGGAUCUUCGGACCUUGCGCGAUUGAAUGAGCCGAUGUCGGAUUAGCUAGUUGGCGGGGUAAAGGCCCACCAAGGCGACGAUCCGUAGCUGGUCUGAGAGGAUGAUCAGCCACACUGGAACUGAGACACGGUCCAGACUCCUACGGGAGGCAGCAGUGGGGAAUAUUGCACAAAGGGCGCAAGCCUGAUCCAGCCAUACCGCGUGGGUGAAGAAGGCCUUCGGGUUGUAAAGCCCUUUUGUUGGGAAAGAAAAGCAGCAGGUUAAUACCCCGCUGUUCUGACGGUACCCAAAGAAUAAGCACCGGCUAACUUCGUG
rnacentral:rRNA from 1 species